UGGGGGAUAUUGCACAAUGGAGGAAACUCUGAUGCAGCAACGCCGCGUGAGGGAAGAAGGUCUUCGGAUUGUAAACCUUAGUAGUCAGGGACGAAAGAAAUGACGGUACCUGAAGAGUAAGCUCCGGCUAACUACGUGCCAGCAGCCGCGGUAAUACGUAGGGAGCGAGCGUUGUCCGGAUUUACUGGGCGUAAAGAGUGCGUAGGCGGUUUUCUAAGUUCGGUGUGAAAUCUCCCGGCUUAACUGGGAGGGUGCGCCGAAGACUGGGAAGCUGGAGUGUGGGAAAGGCAGGCGGAAUUCCUGGUGUAGCGGUGAAAUGCGUAGAUAUCAGGAGGAACACCGGCGGUGUAGACGGCUUGCUAGACCAUAACUGACGCUGAGGCACGAAAGCGUGGGUAGCAAACA
rnacentral:rRNA from 1 species